CUUUAUAUACACUGAUGAAUUAGAGCCACAUAAUUAUGUUGAAGGUAAGAUCCUACAUUAUUUUGUAGCAUCAGUCAUGUGACUUGUGUUUGACUUUUAGCUCUGGAAGAGAAGGAAUCCCAGUGCCUCACCUUUCUCCAGCCCUGCCUUACCCUGCUCACAGACAGCUGAGAGGCCAGCAAAGAAACUAAGAGAAGAGGAGCUUUCUCAUCAUUCUGGCUCUUCAGCUCCAUUGCUAACAGACAAGGAGUCCCAGGGAGAACAGAUUGCAGAUACAACCACAUGUAGGAAGCAGAACUCCUGGGAUUCUCCAUCUACACCCAUCAGCUCCUGGCCACACAGAAGAUUCAACUGUUGCCCUCCAGAUGAGGGAUCCCACUGAUCUUGGUAUGGUCUGUCCAUCCACCCCUGCCCACCCCAGCCUGGCUCCCCUGAGUCAUAGGAAUGGAAGGGUCAGUACAGGUUUCUUUCACUUCCUUCUGACUGUCUUGGCUUCUCCUUUUUCUCCUGGUAGCCUCCACCUCCCCUGCUUGGUUAUUCAAUCACUGCUGAAGACCUAGACUUGGAAAAGAAAGCUUCAUAACAAUGGCUUAACAAGGUCUUGGAGGAUAAGACUGGUAAGGAAUAUAGGUUAAUUUCACACUCCAGAGAGGGUUUCCUUUGAUUUUAUUUUGGUCUGUCUCUUGAGAAAUCCACCUCUUGGGUACUCAGUAGAAUCCUAGAACAGUGAGCAUUGAGAUUGAGAGGAAGCAUUUCUACAUGAGUUCCCCCAAGUCCCUGAGCCUCCCCGUGCUCUGCGAUUACCCUGGAAAGAAUUCUCCUACAAGGGAGGACAAUCCUUUCUUCCUUUCUUUCUUUCUUCCUUAGAAACUGCCUUGAGCUCUGUCACUGAGAACCCACCUGCCACUCCACCAGCUUUUACUCUCACCCUGCCUGCUGCUGAACUGCUGCUUCCUCAGCCUCCCUCCCAGCCCCAAGUACUAACCUGCUGUUUCUCCCCAAGUACAUUAUCGUCGCGAAGAAGCCAAACUCCCUGGGCCUACCAUCUUUCCCAGGUGAGGGGAAGAGCUUUCUGUGGAGCACACAGUGCCAUCAGCCUCUGCUUAGGCUUAAGUGAAAGCACCAUGCCAGUCAGUCAUUAAAAAGGUUGAAGCUGCUUUAGCUUAGCACACCUGAGCUGGUGCAAGCCUGACGGCUUCAGAACCCUCUCAUCAGGAGCAGAUUGUAGGGAAGGGGCUGCCGCCCUUAAAGUUGGAGAGGGCAGCCUCAUUUUUGUAGUCAGAUGGCCGUUGGUUUGCAGCCCCAUUCCAUAGCUGCUCUGAGCUGUGCUUGAGUUCAGAUGAUUGGAUUUUCCUUAGUGUCCACACAUUUAACCCCUGGUAGGCCAAGUUUUAUCCCCUGCUCUUUGUCUUACGAUCUGUGAAGGGUAGAAAUAAGGAGCACUUCCUUGAUUUUGGGAAAUGAAUAUAUUAAGAACCUGUGGUAUAGAUUAGUCAUAUUUGUUGACUCUUGAAUCCCUGGCCCAGCAAGGCUUCUAGA